rnacentral:rRNA from 1 species
GAUGAACGCUAGCUACAGGCUUAACACAUGCAAGUCGAGGGGCAGCACUAGGUAGCAAUACUGAGGUGGCGACCGGCGCACGGGUGCGUAACGCGUAUCCAACCUUCCCGAUACUCUUGGAUAGCCUUCCGAAAGGGAGAUUAAUACAAGAUGGUAUUCAAAUUCCGCAUGUUAUUUGAAUUAAAGAUUUAUCGGUAUCGGAUGGGGAUGCGUGACAUUAGAUAGUAGGCGGGGUAACGGCCACCUAGUCUACGAUGUCUAGGGGUUCUGAGAGGAAGGUCCCCCACACUGGAACUGAGACACGGUCCAGACUCCUACGGGAGGCAGCAGUGAGGAAUAUUGGUCAAUGGUCGGAAGACUGAACCAGCCAAGUAGCGUGAAGGAUGAAGGUUCUAUGGAUUGUAAACUUCUUUUAUACGGGAAUAAAACCUCCACGUGUGGGAGCUUGUAUGUACCGUAUGAAUAAGCAUCGGCUAACUCCGUG